rnacentral:rRNA from 1 species
CCCUUAGAUGUUCUGGGCCGCACGCGCGCUACACUGACGAUGGCAACGAGUUUUUCCUUCGCCGAAAGGUGUGGGUAAUCUUUUGAAACAUCGUCGUGCUGGGGAUAGAUCAUUGCAAUUUUUGAUCUUGAACGAGGAAUUCCUAGUAAGCGCGAGUCAUCAGCUCGCGUUGAUUACGUCCCUGCCCUUUCUACACACCGCCCGUCGCUACUACCGAUUGAAUGGUUUAGUGAGGACUCCUGAUUGGCGCCGCCGCCCCGGCAACGGAGCAGCGGACUGCCGAAAAGUUGUUCAAACUUGAUCAUUUAGAGGAAGUAAAAGUCGUAACA